rnacentral:sRNA from 1 species
CGGGAGAUUACGCCCUCUAGGAUCAACCAUAUCAGCACACCUAGUCAAGAGAACCACUAAACCUAGCCACCACCCAGACCAGGCCUAGUUUCCCUUUUGCCCCUCUUGUAUUCCUUCCCGCUCCUCCCUCGACUACCCGACCUGCGAUCCCUAGACAUGGGUUGGUCCGUUGACAGCCACAAAAGCAAGAAGGAGCCCAAAAACGGGCUUUCCUCACAAUAGGGGACCAUAAAUGGUCCAAACCAUUCGUCGACUGAACGUUUUGAGGGUUAACUUGGUUGAGAUUGCACAGGAGGAUGAAGAGAUAGAAUUCUGGGUCAUCAUCGUCCAGAGACCGCCAUUCUUGAUGGGUAAAAAUCAUUGUUUUAGAGGGUCCGGUAAUGAUGGCGAGUGUCACCCACAUUUUGCGCCCGUGAGCUUCGAACGGCUGGGGCUCGAGGCGUGGUCUACCAUCUGCCCAGUUGGGCGUUGCCGAUAGUAUCAGACCAUAGCACCCAGUAAAUCGCCCUUCAGUGGGUGCAAAGGUAUCAAUGUUGCUUUCUGUUCGUAGAUUGGUAAAAUAGGGGUGGUCGGGUUGAUGUCCCAGGUUCCCUAGAGCGGUGAUGAUGGUGGCGGGAUCAUAAGUGAUUCCUGAGUCUGUGGUGUGGAGGAGGACAGGUGGAGCGGAUCGUGCCAGCGGGAGAAAGGAGAGUAACCAGGGCUCCUCCCUGAUUUCAAUGACCCCACCGUGCUCGCGGAGGCCCUUCCCGUUGAGCAAGGAUUUCCCUCCUUCCUCAUUGAUAAUGGCAAACAUCUCUGGCCAGUCCCACGCCGGGGGGGAACCUCAUGCCAACAAUGUAAAGAUCAGAAUGCUACGAAAGAGAAAAUAUUAAAUAAGGGUAUACAGUCUGGUCUAACAAUGACCAUGUAGUCUACUUUUCUA